rnacentral:rRNA from 1 species
CCUACGGGCGGCAGCAGUGGGGAAUAUUGGGCAAUGGGCGCAAGCCUGACCCAGCAACGCCGCGUGAAGGAAGAAGGCUCUCGGGUUGUAAACUUCUUUUAUCAGGGACGAAGCAAGUGACGGUACCUGAUGAAUAAGCCACGGCUAACUACGUGCCAGCAGCCGCGGUAAUACGUAGGUGGCAAGCGUUAUCCGGAUUUACUGGGGGUAAAGGGCGUGUAGGCGGGAAAGCAAGUCAGAUGUGAAAACCAUGGGCUCAACCUGUGGCCUGAAUUUGAAACUGUUUUUCUUGAGUACUGGAGAGGCAGACGGAAUUCCGAGUGGAGCGGUGAAGCGGGUAGAUAUUAGGAGGCACAGCAGUGGCGAAGGCGGUCUGCUGGACAGCAACUGACGCUGAGGCGCGAACGCGUGGGGAGCAAACAGGAUUAGAUACCCGAGUAGUC